UAUUGCUGCUGAAUCCUUGAUUGAGGAUGUCGUAUCGUUUCCGUGUUCCAGUGCGUCGUAAGUACGUGGCAGGUUUAGGUCGUGUUAUCGAAUAUUAGCUUCUCGCCAUGUAAGAGGAUGGCCCCACUCCUAUCGUUAUCAGUUGAGUUAUGAGAUAGUAAUAGAAGAACCUUGAUGACGUCUCUUAGGCUGGUUAAGGUAUUAGUGGUCAUAUCGUGGUUCACUUGCGGUGAUGGAUUAGGGAGAUGUGCUAGUGUAUUAAGUCAAGUAGGAUAUGUCGUGGACUUGGACUUGUGAGAAUUGGAAAAUGAUGAUAUGGAAGGUCUCGGAAGAUGUGUUAGGUAAUAUCAUGAGAAUCGUGAGCGUAUCUUGAGGACAUGGACUGAGCGCGAAUUUCGAGGACGAAAUUCUAUUAAGGAGGGGAGAAUUGUAAUAUCCCGAAAAUUUGAGAAAUAAAUAAUGAUUAAUAAUUUUGGCAUUUGAUGUCAUUUUGGAGUAUUAGAGAAAUUAAGAGAAAAUAUUUACUUAUGUUAUUUUGAGAAAAUAAGUAAAUAAGAUAAUUAUUAAUUCUUGCAUUUAUGGAAAUUAUUAAUUUAUUUGGGAAUUUGGAGAUAUAAGAAAAAAUAAAUUAAUUUAAUGGAUUUUUGAAAGUUUUCGGGUGUAAGUGCAAUAAAGGAAAUUGGAGUCUGGGGUGUGUGUGCCAAUAAUGAAAGUUCUGGGGGCUGAAAUGUGAUUUGCCGAAGUGGCCGCAAAUCACCUUAAAUAUAAGUGAAGGCAUUAUAUGGUUAAAGGAGUCGGCUAGCGCGGGCGGUCGCGAGUGCUCGUGUGCUGGGUGAGGUCGCGGGUUCGAGCCCCCUCGGGUGUGCGCGCGCGCUGGAGAAUUUUGGCUGAUUUUUCAGCCAAAAUCCUUGCCCAAAACGGCGUUGUUUUGGGCAAGGCGGUGGCAGCCAUGUGCAGCUGCUGGGCGCGCCACGUGGCGCGCUGUGGGCCGCCCAUUUGCCUCGCGUUAAAGCAGCAUUUUUGCUGCGAUUUUAAGGCCGAUUUCGGCCAAAUUUGAGGCAGAACCAGAGGAAGAAAAAUGAAGAAGAAGCAGCGCGCGCGAGGGUCAUUUUUUAGAGAAAAAUUGAAGAUUAAAUUACGUUUAAUCGUGAUUUAAUUAAUCAGCGUGUAUUAAUUUGGUGAUGUUUAAGCAUGAAAACGCUGUAAUCAGCUUAAGCGAGGCAAGUUCUCCUCUACCCUUGCGAUCUAUUUCCAUUUGCGGGAAUGCAAGAAAUGGAGGAAACGGUCGUGUAAAGGCAAGCUCCUAACCCUCUUCUCGUGUUCUUUAAUUCCCGUGAAAGACCCCGUGAUUUCCUGUAUUUUAUCACCUCCCUUACUUUAAUUCGGUACAUUGCCUUAUUAGUUGAACUAUUAUUCAUUUGUUUUAAUUUAAAUUAAAUCCGAGACUUCUAGAGUUUUGUUUGUUGUGAGCUUAUGGGGGUUUGUACCGCCCCCACUCCUUUUGGGAAUGAUGCUGAACCCAGUUGGGACUAGGUUCCUAGACGGGCGGGUUUAUUUAUGAUUUUAUUGGAUUUAUUUACAGUUUUCUUGGAUUUAUUUAUGGUUCGGUUAGAGCUAUCGAGCAGUAGGGCAGGGGUCGGUUGUUGGUAACGUUGGAGUAGACUAUCGUACGGCCCUGAUGUGGACCGUCGGGUGGACACCCCUAGUCACUGGCCGUUGACCGAUGCCACGCACUGCUGACAAGCUCUGCCGGUAGUGCCAGCGUAGGUCCGAGCAAGGGAGUCAGCUUUAGCGGCAGAGUCGGUGUGGUGUACAGGCAGUCUCGUCAAUCCCUAUCCACUCUGAUGUCUAAGUAGAAUUUACUCUAUUAUUUCGUACUGUGCCAGGUCUUUUCUCGAGUCUUGUGUAUGUCGGCACAGGAGUUUGUGUUUAUUUAUUUAUCUUGUGACCGCUGUGUUAGCGGGGUACCCAUAGUGCAUGCAUGUCUUGACCUUUGCUUCCGCUGUUCUUAUUUUUUUGUGUAUGCAUGCUGGGGUGGUCUUUGUCUGGUGUCUCAUUCUUUUCUCCUUCCGUAGGCGCUCCCGUUCGGGUAGUCCGGGCGAUUGGGAUAUCC